rnacentral:rRNA from 1 species
CUUGAGAGCUGGCGUACGGGUGCGGAACACGUGUGUCACUGCUUUAUCUGGGGGAUAGCCUUUCGAAAGGAAGAUUAAAUACCCCAUAAUAUCGUUGAAUGGCAUCAUUCGACAUUGAAAACUCCGGUGGAUAGAGAUGGGCACGCGCAAGAUUCAGAUCAGUUGGUGACGGUCAACGGCUCACCAAGUCUACGAUCUUUAGGGGGCCUGACAGGGUGAUCCCCCACACUGGUCACUGAGACACGGACCAGACUCCUACGGGAGGCAGCAGUUGACGGAAUCAUCUUCGGACAAUGGGUCGACGAAGCCUUGAUCCAGCCAUCCCGGCGUGAACGGACUGACUUGGCCCUUNAAUUGGGAGUUCUCCUNCGGUCAAAAACCUUUNNCUUCCUGGGUCAUUAACGGGCGGAUCACAAACCCUUAACCGCCCACUUCCCGGUCGGAACGGGGGGGUACAAGACUUCGCAANAGGGUCAACCUNCAAUUCAACCGGGAAACUUCCAGAAGGCCAACCCGGGGCUUCAAGAGUUACCCGUAGGGCCCAAGGGCACAAGGGCCCCACGGCCAGGGGUUCCAAAUGAACACGNGGACAACAGGGGG